CCUGACCUUGAUGACCAAAGGAGCCUUGAUUGCUGCUGGCUAGAGGAGCCUUGAUUGUGGCUAGACAUCAUCUUUUAGUUAAUGAAAUUAGUUGGGAUGGUUGUGUGAUAUCCAUUAAUUGAUAGAUUUGGAGAAAUUUGAACAUGAGACUCACUAUAAUUUUGUAGCUUGAUUUUAAUUUGACAUCAAGCCUAAUAAAAGC
rnacentral:lncRNA from 1 species